UACAGAGGGUGCGAGCGUUGUCCGGAAUCACUGGGCGUAAAGGGCGCGUAGGCGGCUUUUCAAGCGUGCGGUGAAAGCUCGGGGCUUAACUCCGAGUCUGCCGUGCGAACUGGGAGGCUUGAGUCUGGUAGAGGUCGAUGGAAUUCCGGGUGUAGCGGUGGAAUGCGUAGAGAUCCGGAAGAACACCGGUGGCGAAGGCGGCAUCCUGGACCGGCAUUGACGCUGAGGCGCGAAAGCCAGGGGAGCAAACGGG
rnacentral:rRNA from 1 species